rnacentral:rRNA from 1 species
AGCAGCCGCGGUAACACCGGCGGCCGAGUGGUGAUCGUGAUUAUUGGGUCUAAAGGGUCCGUAGCCGGUUUGGUCAGUCCUCCGGGAAAUCUGAUAGCUCAACUAUUAGGCUUUCGGGGGAUACUGCCAGACUUGGAACCGGGAGAGGUAAGAGGUACUACAGGGGUAGGAGUGAAAUCUUGUAAUCCCUGUGGGACCACCUGUGGCGAAGGCGUCUUACCAGAACGGGUUCGACGGUGAGGGACGAAAGCUGGGGGCACGAACCGGAUUAGAUACCCGGGUAGUCCCAGCCGUAAACGAUGCUCGCUAGGUGUCAGGCAUGGCGCGACCGUGUCUGGUGCCGCAGGGAAGCCGUGAAGCGAGCCACCUGGGAAGUACGGCCGCAAGGCUGAAACUUAAAGGAAUUGGCGGGGGAGCACAACAACGGGUGGAGCCCUGCGGUUUAAUUGGACUCAACGCCGGACAACUCACCGGGGGCGACAGCAAUAUGUAGGCCAAGCUGAAGACUUUGCCUGAAUCGCUGAGAAGAGGUGCAUGG